rnacentral:rRNA from 1 species
ACAACUCUCAACAACGGAUAUCUUGGCUCCCGCAUCGAUGAAGAACGCAGCGAAAUGCGAUACGUAGUGUGAAUUGCAGAAUUCCGUGAAUCAUCGAAUCUUUGAACGCAUAUUGCGCUCGAGACUCCGGUCAAGAGCAUGUCUGGCUCA